NNNNNNNNNNNNNNNNNNNNNNNNNNNNNNNNNNNNNNNNNNNNNNNNNNNNNNNNNNNNNNNNNNNNNNNNNNNNNNNNNNNNNNNNNNNNNNNNNGACUGGCUAAUUUGUGCUCCUUCUCGCAGUCAAGUCAUGAAGGACACAGAAAUGGUGCUUCAACAUGUCCAGUCUCUCGGGUUCAAAGUGAACUGGGAAAAGAGCAAUCUAAGUCCCAGACAACAGACCGUGUUUGUAGGAAUUUCGCUAGAUUCCCAACUGAUGACGGCAACUUUAUCACCCCAGAGAGUGGUACAGUUGGUCAGUCUAACUCAAUCAUUCCAUCUGAACAAGAGAUUGAAGUUAAUUCAGUUUCAGCGAUUGUUGGGCAUGAUUGCAGCAGCAGCAGCUGUGGUCCCACUCGGCCUUCUCAAAGCCCGUCCACUACAACGUUGGUUGAACAACUUUCACUUGCAUCCCAAAUUACACAGACAUGUAAGGAUAAAGGUUUACACAAAGGUGUGUCCAAAUGUUACACCCUUGGAAGUCAUUACCAUCACAAGCGGUUCCUCUAGGCAACAUCCCAGCGAGACGGUCUGUGAUAACGACAGAUGCCUCUCUAACAGGGUGGGGAGCAGUUUGGGAAGGCAGGUCCAUCAGGGGACACUGGAAAUUCCCCUGGACCACAGAGCACAUCAACGUGCUGGAACUCAGGGCAGUCCAUCUCUCCCUGAGGGUUUUUCUCCCGUUGUUACAGAACAAACAUGUUUUGGUGAGAACAGACAACAUGUCGGCAGUGUACCACAUCAAUCAUCAGGGCGGCACCAGAUCAGCGCGGUGUCUCCAGGUGACAAAGGAACUACUUUCUUGGGCAUUUCCAAAGCUCUCAUCACUCAGAGCAGUAUACAUACCGGGAGUGGCGAACAGAGCAGCAGACCUGCUGUCGCGAACUGGACCUCUCCCGGGAGAGUGGCGUCUCCAUCCCGAAGUGGUGAGAUUAAUAUGGAGGCGUUUCGGUAUGGCAAAGGUCGAUUUGUUUGCCACCACAGAGACAACUCAUUGCGAUCUAUGGUAUUCCCUGAACAGCCAGGGAGGCCCUUUAGGGAUCGAUGCACUCUCAAGAAUGUCUGGAAGAAUUGUUGUACGCUUUUCCUCCCCUACCCUUGAUCCACCUUGUGCUCAACAGGGUAGCUUUGGGCCGUCACAAGGUUUUACUUGUGGCCCCAAGUUGGCCAAAGAAACUUUGGUUUCCGACCCUUGUACAUUUGGUCCAAGGUUACCCUUGGCAGUUACCACGGAGAGCAGAUCUCCUCUCUCAAGUGGAGGGCCAAAUCUGGCACCCAAGUCCAGAGACACUUCAACUAUGGGUAUGGCCCUUGCUCAGUCCCUCUCUGAAGGCUUAGAUGAAGCUGUAUUAAGGACAAUAAAUAGUUCUAAGGCACCGUCUACAUGGAGUAACUAUUUUAGCAAGUGGCGAAUAUUCUCAACAUGGUGUCAUGACCGACAACUAGAUCCGGCCAAGUGUGACACCAGUUUGGUUCUUCGUUUUCUUCAAACAUUGAUUGAUUCUGGGAAAUCAGUUAAUACCAUAAAAGUCUACAUUGCAGCCAUCUCACACUUCCAUGUGUCAGUGGAUGGUGCAAAUAUUGGCAAACACCCUUUGGUGUCUCAAUUUCUCAAGGGUGCAAAACGCUUGCGACCAGGGAGAAUUAUGAGAUCACCUGCUUGGGACCUUUCUAUUGUCUUACAGUCACUGGCCAAAGCACCUUUUGAACCUUUGGAGCAAGCAGAUCUCAAGUUCUUGACAUGGAAAACAGUUUUUCUACUGGCGAUAUGUUCAGCCAAGAGAGUUGGUGAAUUGCACGCUUUAUCAGUCAGUGAAGACUGCUUGAGAUGGAAGGCAGAAAAAACAGGGGUUUUUCUCUGGCCAAACCCAUCAUUCUUGCCCAAGGUCCUUAAGCCUAGCACAAUAAAUCAGGUAAUUGAGCUUGAUGCUUUCCGUCCAGAUCCCCUUUGUUCAGGUGAAGAACUGGAUCAUUGUUCUCUAUGUCCUGUUAGAGCAUUGCACACAUAUAUUGAGCAAACUCAUCAACUACGACAGUCACACACACAACUAUUUGUAUGUUUUGACAAGAAGUGUGCAGGCAAACCUGUGUCUAAGCAACGGUUAUCUCAUUGGAUAGUGGAUACCAAUUCACAAGCUUAUGUCAACCAAAAUCUACCUAUCCCUGGUGAGCUGGUUGCUCACUCUACCAGGAGCAUGGCCACUUCCUGGGCGGCACUGAAGGCGGUAGCAGUAUCAGACAUCUGUGCUGCAGCCU
ensembl:lncRNA